rnacentral:lncRNA from 1 species
AGUGUAGUGGUGUGUGUAGUGUAGUGGUGUGUGUAGUGUAGUGGUGUGUGUAGUGUAGUGGUGUGUGUAGUGUAGUGGUGUUGUGUAGUGUAGUGGUGUGUGUAGUGUAGUGGUGUGUUGUAGUGUAGUGUAGUGGUGUGUGUAGUGUAGUGGUGUGUGUAGUGUAGUGGUGUGUGUAGUGUAGUGGUGUGUGUGUAGUGUAGUGGUGUGUGUAGUGUAGUGGUGUGUGUAGUGUAGUGGUGUGUGUAGUGUAGUGGUGUGUGUAGUGUAGUGGUGUGUGUAGUGUAGUGUAGUGGUGUGUGUAGUGUAGUGGUGUGUGUAGUGUAGUGGUGUGUGUAGUGUAGUGGUGUGUGUAGUGUAGUGGUGUGUGUAGUGUAGUGGUGUGUGUAGUGUAGUGGUGUGUGUAGUGUAGUGGUGUGUGUAGUGUAGUGGUGUGUGUGGUGUAGUGGUGUGUGUAGUGUAGUGGUGUGUGUAGUGUAGUGGUGUGUGUAGUGUAGUGGUGUGUGUAGUGUAGUGGUGUGUGUGGUGUAGUGGUGUGUGUAUGUGUAGUGGUGUGUGUAGUGUAGUGGUGUGUGUAGUGUAGUGGUGUGUGUAGUGUAGUGGUGUGUGUGGUGUAGUGGUGU